rnacentral:rRNA from 1 species
AUUGAACGCUGGCGGCAGGCCUUACACAUGCAAGUCGCACGAGUGGCGGCCGGGUGAGUAAUGUCUGGGAACCUGCCCGAUGGCGGGGGAUAACUACUGGAAACGGUAGCUAAUACCGCAUACCAUCGGAUGUGCCCAGAUGGGAUUAGCUAGUAGGUGGGGUAACGGCUCACCUAGGCGCCGAUCCCUAGCUGGUCUGAGAGGACGACCAGCCACACUGGAACUGAGACACUGUCCAGACUCCUAAGGGAGGCAGCGGUGGGGAAUAUUGCACAAUGGGCGAAAGCCUGAUACAGCCAUGCCGCGGGUAUGAGGAAGGCCUUCGGGUUGUAAAGUACUUUUAGCAAAGAAGCGUUACUUGAAGAAUAAGCACCGGCUAACUCCGUGCCAGCAGCCGCGGUAAUAG